GACGAACGCUGGCGGCGUGCCUAAUACAUGCAAGUAGAACGCUGAAACUUGGUGCUUGCACCGAGCGGAUGAGUUGCGAACGGGUGAGUAACGCGUAGGUAACCUGCCUGGUAGCGGGGGAUAACUAUUGGAAACGAUAGCUAAUACCGCAUAAGAGUAGAUGUUGCAUGACAUUUGCUUAAAAGGUGCAAUUGCACCACUACCAGAUGGACCUGCGUUGUAUUAGCUAGUUGGUGGGGUAACGGCUCACCAAGGCGACGAUACAUAGCCGACCUGAGAGGGUGAUCGGCCACACUGGGACUGAGACACGGCCCAGACUCCUACGGGAGGCAGCAGUAGGGAAUCUUCGGCAAUGGACGGAAGUCUGACCGAGCAACGCCGCGGGAGGGAAGAAGGUUUUCGGAUCGUAAAGCUCUGUUGUAAGAGAAGAACGAGUGUGAGAGUGGAAAGUUCACACUGUGACGGUAUCUUACCAGAAAGGGACGGCUAACUACGUG
rnacentral:rRNA from 1 species